GAGAGGUGUCUCUUCACAGAUCUUCAAAUGUCUAGAAGAAAAGCGGAGGUGAGACACCUCAGUGGAUGGGUCACUGUGACAAUGAGGUUGCUACAAACAGACACUGUGACUCUGCUUCUCUCAGCGACCGUCAAAGGCUACGCUGUGUGCAAAUCUGAGUGCACAACAGGAAUCCACAGGAGCCCUGGGGGCACAGAAAGGUACCCUGCUUCAAUUCUAACUGAGACUUAUAAUUGAUUUUAUAAACUGGUUUUCUUUUAGGAGGCUCUUUUUACAACAAGAUCACAGUUUGGAAUGUACAGUAAUAACAUCACAAAAGAUGGAAUUGUGGUCAAUAGGUCUGAGGGGGGGAAAAAACACUGACAGAUAGAAGGCUCCUCAAGUGCAUGGUUUGGGUUACCAGUAACCAGCAGAGAAAAUGACUUUUUAACACAUAGGGUUUGAGACAACCUCACAGGAAGAGAUGAUAUCAAAACCCAUGGAAAUCACACCUAGAUUAGUUUAGAGACUUGAAUGUGUUACCAGAAAGUCCUCUUAAGAUUCCACUUACCCUUUUUCUACUAAACCUCCUAUCUGUAUAUCCCCUAACAGAAAGGAGUCUUCUAGAUAUUUGUUUGCACAACUUUCUAGUUAGGCUUGUUGAUAAUUAAUCUGGAUAAAUCCAUGUGCAGAAACUUCUCAUUAUCAUUCUUUCAAAGCGUGACACAGGACCUUCAAGAGAUG
rnacentral:lncRNA from 1 species